UACGUAGGGUGCGAGCGUUAAUCGGAAUUACUGGGCGUAAAGCGUGCGUAGGCGGUUUGCCGUGUCCUGUGUGAAAGCCCCGGGCUCAACCUGGGAAUUGCAUGGGAAACUGGCAGGCUUGAGUGUGGCAGAGGAAAGUGGAAUUCCACGUGUAGCGGUGAAAUGCGUAGAGAUGUGGAGGAACACCAGUGGCGAAGGCGACUUUCUGGGCUGUAACUGACGCUGAGGCGCGAAAGCGUGGGGAGCAAACAGG
rnacentral:rRNA from 1 species